GGAUUAUGAUCCAUCAGAUGAGAAAAAGGCUAUUGAUGAUGCAAAAGCUGGUGUUAAGGGACUUGUUGAUUCUGGAAUAGUCGAGAUUCCAAGAAUUUUCAUUAGGCCACCUCAUGAACUUGCUGAGGAGUUGAAUAUGUGCAAGUCAACUUUACAGGUUCCGGUUGUGGAUCUAAGUGGCAUACAUGUUGAAGAUGGGCGUAAGAAGAUUGUUGAUGAAAUAAGGGAAGCAUCUGAGAAAUGGGGCCUUUUCCAACUGAUAAAUCAUGGGAUUCCUUCUAGUGUUUUGGAAGGAAUGAUUGAUGAGACUCGUAAAUUUCAUGAACAAGAUGUUGAAGUGAAGAAAGAGUACUAUUCGUCUGAUCCAACAGCCAGACAAGUUAGAUAUGAUUGCAAUCUUCAUGUGAACAAAACAAAAGGAAAGAUUGCAAACUGGAAGGAUACAUUAUACAUCUCUGAGCUAGUUUCUGGUCACAUUGAACCUGAAGAAAUACCACAAGUUUGCAGGUAACUCUGUAUUUUCUGCACUUGAAUUUCAAUUCUAUAUCUGUCCUGUUUGAUGCGUACACAGUGUUGAAGUUUUUGUAUUAAAUCUAAGGAUUUAUUGAGUAGAGGUCACUGCCUCAGUACAGUGUUCUAUCUUCAUUUCUAGUUGAUAUAUGGAUACAUGAUGCCAGUAGCAGAUCUAGAGUAUAACUUAGGGAUCACAGGAACUUAGUACCUUUUGCCCAAACCUUGUAUAUAAAUAUUUGACUGUGAAUCCAAUUAUUAAUGCAUAUCAACCUUGUCCUCAUGUAGUAAUCUCUGAUUUUUUCCUUAUGUCCAGGAAAACAUCCGUUGAGUACAUAAAUCAUGUUGUAAAACUAGAAGAUAUUCUUCUUGGCUUACUAUCAGAAGCUCUCGGACUAAAGCCAAACCACUUAAAAGCCACUGAAUGUGACAAAAGACAGUUAAUGGUAUGCCAUUACUACCUGGCAUGCCCACUGCCAGAGCUAACUCUUGGUACCAAUAAGCAUACAGAUCCUGUUUUCGUUACCAUUCUGUUUCAAGAUCAGAAUGGUGGGCUCCAAGUCAUGCGUGAUAACCAAUGGGCCGAUGAUACACCGAUUGAACAUGGUUUGGUUGUUAAUAUUGGUGACCUCCUUCAGGUUUGCAACAAAACACAACUUUUUUGUUCUCAUUUUUUCACAAACUAUUACUCAUCUCAAUCUGAUUUUGUCACAGAUCCUAUCAAAUGACAAGUUUGUGAGUGCAAUUCAUAGAGUUGUAGCGAAAAAGAUAGGACCAAGGAUUUCAGUGGCAUGCUUUUCAACGGAGUUUCUACCUCUCCAAAGCUGUAUGGUCCAAUCAAAGAGCUCAUAUCUGAAGAAAACCCCCCACUAUAUAAAGAUUUUCAAGUAGUUGAUUAUGUUACCAAGUUUUUCUCGAAGCCUCUCGAUAAGACUGGUCUUGAUCUUUUCAGACUGUGAAGAGAGUUAGAUCACCAUAAACCAUCAGAUAUAAGAACAAUGUCAGAGUUUGUGAUUUGCUGUACAAUAAAUGUCGUUUGUUUUUUCAAAUAAAGGAAUAAUAAUGUAUUGACUAUAAUCGUUCAUCCUCGUUUAGCAAUAUCGGAUCAGCUUUGUAUGAUAUCCAUUGUAUCUUUCAAUUUUUGUUAUUCAACUUUUAAGUUAGGAUCUUUUCACCAAUAUCAUCAUAGUAUGAUGACGAUGAUGUUGUUGUUCAACGUUCUUGCUUCUGCAUCUUUGCAAAAGUCAUGUGGGCAUUUAUGAUUUACAAAAACAUACCUAGUAAUUCCACUAGUGGAGUGUGGGAGGAGUAGAGUCUAUAGAGACCUUACGUUCUUUCCGAUAGACCCCUUAAGGAAAAGCAUACACUGAAAAAAAGAAGGAAAUAGUACGAUAAUCAGAGAACAAAUGACAGUAGAUAGUAACAGAAAUUUGACGAUAUGUAAAAGCUAUGAAAGAAAUACCAACUACUGAGGACAAGAAAUUAUAGGAGAAAUAUUACGACUACUAAUAAGGGAAGGAUAAGCAAUAUAAGCAGCCCAACACCGGACCCUGUAGUUGCUUGUUCCCUAUGAGUGUUUGUGUUCCCCUCUUCUCUUCAUUCCCAUUAUCUACGGAAAAAGGACCAAAAAUACCCCGAACUAUUGCAAAAGGUGUAAAUAAACACUUUGUUCAUCUGUUUUGCUAAAAGUAUCCUAUGAUAUAUUUUUGGCAACCAGUUGAACUUAUAAAAACAGAUGGGACAUAGAAUAAGAAUAUGAUAUAUUCAUAAAUGAUUCUUUCUUCUUUCAUCUUUCAUUCAAUUUAUUAUCUUACCCUUUAAUUGAGUAACAAAUUGGAGAAGAGGAAAGGUUAGGUAGUUUAGAGAGUCAGUAGGCAUUUAAAAAAUAAAUAAAGAAAUGAAAGGACUCUUGUCUGUAACACCUUCUCAAGAAAACCAAAAGUUUUAAAUAUUAAAAGUUGCCAUCAACAUUCUCUUUUUUCUUCCUACUUUACAUUUUUUAUUUUAUUAAAAAUAAGUAUGGGAAGUCAUUACAACUCUUUAUAAAAAUAUCUCAUUUUUUUGUGGAAAGGUAUUUUGGUAAUCCAACUUUUAACUUGGAGGUUUCACAAUUAUAAUAUAGUAUGACGAUGAUAUGAUGAUUAAAAAUUGAAUUGAUUAAUAUUUCUUACUACAACUACUCAAUUAUUUGUUAGGGGUUUUAUUUAAUAAACUGCUAUUAACAAAUGUUUAUUUUAUGGGAUGUUCAAUAUAUUUUGAAAAUUCAACCAUCUAAUUAGUAGUCUUUUCGUUCUAAGGCUGAAAUUAGCAAUGGAUUAUGAUCCAUCGGAUGAGAAAAAAGCUAUUGAUGAUGCAAAAGCUGGUGUUAAGGGACUAGUUGAUUCUGGAGUAGUCGAGAUUCCAAGAAUUUUCAUUAGGCCACCUCAUGAACUUGCUGAGGAGUUGAAUAUGUGCAAAUCAACUCUACAGGUUCCGGUGGUGGAUCUCAGUGACAUUGAAGUUGAAGAUGGGCGUAAGAAGAUUGUUGAUGAAAUAAGGGAAGUAUCUGAGAAAUGGGGCCUUUUCCAAGUGAUAAAUCAUGGGAUUCCUUCAAGUGUCUUGGAAGGAAUGAUCGAUGGGACUCGUAAAUUUCAUGAACAAGAUGUUGAAGUGAAGAAAGAGUACUAUUCGUCUGAUCCAACAGCCAGACAAGUUAGAUAUGAUUGCAAUCUUCAUGUGAACAAAACAAAAGGAAAGAUUGCAAACUGGAAGGAUACAUUAUACAUCUCUGAGCUAGUUUCUGGUCACAUUGAACCUGAAGAAAUACCACAAGUUUGCAGGUAACUCUGUAUUUUCUGCACUUGAAUUUCAAUUCUAUAUCUGUCCUGUUUGAUGCGUACACAGUGUUGAAGUUUUUGUAUUAAAUCUAAGGAUUUAUUGAGUAGAGGUCACUGCCUCAGUACAGUGUUCUAUCUUCAUUUCUAGUUGAUAUAUGGAUACAUGAUGCCAGUAGCAGAUCUAGAGUAUAACUUAGGGAUCACAGGAACUUAGUACCUUUUGCCCAAACCUUGUAUAUAAAUAUUUGACUGUGAAUCCAAUUAUUAAUGCAUAUCAACCUUGUCCUCAUGUAGUAAUCUCUGUAUUUUUCCUAAUGUCCAAGGAAAACAUCCGUUGAGUACAUAAAUCAUGUUGUAAAACUAGAAGAUAUUCUUCUUGGCUUACUAUCAGAAGCUCUCGGACUAAGGACAAACCACUUAAAAGACACUGAAUGUGACAAAAGACAGUUAAUGGUAUGCCAUUACUACCCGGCAUGCCCACAGCCAGAGCUAACUCUUGGUACCGAGAAGCAUACUGAUCCUGUUUUCGUUACCAUUCUGCUUCAAGAUCAGAAUGGUGGGCUCCAAGUCAUGUGUGAUAACCAAUGGACCGAUGUUACACCGAUUGAACAUGGUCUGGUUGUUAAUAUUGGUGACCUUCUUCAGGUUUGCAACAAAGCACAACUUUUUGUUCUCAUUUUUUCAUAAACUGUACUCAUCUCAAACUGAUUUUGUAACAGAUCCUAUCAAAUGACAAGUUUGUGAGUGCAAUUCAUAGAGUUGUAGCAAGAAAUGCGGGACCAAGGAUUUCAGUGGCAUGCUUCUUCAGCGGAGUUUCUACACCUCCUAAGACGUAUGGUCCAAUCAAAGAGCUCAUAUGGGAAGAAAAUCCCCCACUAUAUAAAGAAUUUCAAGUAGUUGAUUAUGUCACUAAGUAUUUCUCCAAGCCUCUUGAUAAGACUGGUCUUGAUCUUUUCAGACUGUGAAGAGAGACGUAGUCAGAAUUUGUGAUUCGCUGGACAAUAAUGUCAUCUUUCCUAUUCUGUUGUAUAUUUUCAAAUAAAAAGGGAUAAAUCUAAAGAACAUACUCCCUUAUGUAUCCUUCAUUUUGUUCCUCUAAUAAUAAUAAUGUAUGGGUUUUCAUCAUUCAUCCGCUUUUAGAAAAAUCGGAUCAUUUUCAUAUGAGAUCCAUUGGAUUUUCCAAGUGAUCAGUAUUCACUGCUGUUUUAAUAAGCCAACAAUCUAUUUUCAGGAUACAAUUGAAAGUGCUCUAGAAUUUGCAGCCUUUUUUUUCUCUGGUGUUUGUAAUCUUAAACCUUUGCUGGUGUUUAGUGAAUUUGUUGGUGAAAUACUACGUGGUAGGUGGUGAUUUUUUCCUUGCUUGAGCAAGAAGGUUUGCACUUAAACAUCAUGUGUUGAAAGGGGCUGUUGUACCAGUAUUAUGAGAAGGUGAAGGGAGAGUGUUUUGUACGCGUAUGUGCUUCUGGUUUUUUUGUCUUCUUGAUUAUAAUAAGGAACUUGAUAAUAAAAUGAAUAUAAUUAGGGGUUGAAUAAUACAACUUGCAACGUUUAUAAUAACUUGAUCAAUUGAUUAAUAUCAAUUAUUACAACCACUCAACUACUAUUUGUUUUUAAUGAACUGCUCUUAACAAAUCUUUGUUUUAUGCUAAAGGAAUAUAUUAUAAAAUUAUAAUGGGAUGUUUAAUAUGUUUAUGAAAACUAUGUUUUGAAAAUGCAACCAUCUAAGUAGUACUCUCUUUGUACCAAAUCUUGUAAACUUUCUCAAGUUGAAUUUAGCAAUGGAUUAUGAUCCAUCGGAUGAGAAAAAGGCUAUUGAUGAUACAAAAGCUGGCGUUAAGGGACUAGUUGAUUCUGGAAUAGUCGAGAUUCCAAGAAUUUUCAUUAGGCCACCUCAUGAACUUGCUGAGGAGUUGAAUAUGUGCAAGUCAACUCUACAGGUUCCGGUGGUGGAUCUAAGUGGCAUAGAAGCUGAAGAUCGGCGUAAGAUCAUUGUUGAUGAAAUAAGGGAAGUAUCUGAGAAAUUGGGCCUUUUCCAAGUGAUAAAUCAUGGGGUUCCUUCAAGUGUUUUGGAAGGAAUGAUUGAUGGGACUCGUAAAUUUCAUGAACAAGAUGUCAAAGUGAAGAAAGAGUACUAUUCGUCUGAUCCAACAACCAGACGAGUUAGAUAUGAUGGCAAUGUUCAUGUGUACAAAACAAAAGGAAAGACUGCACACUGGAAGGAUACAUUGUAUGUUGCUGGGCUAGUUUCUGGUCACAUUGAACCUGAAGAAUUACCAGAAGUUUGCAGGUAAACAAUGUAUCUUCAUUUCUAGUUGAUAUUUAUGGUAUUUUAUAACUUAGUAGUCUCUGAUAUUUUCUUAAAUGUCCAGGAAGGAAUACGUUGAGUACACAAAUCAUGUCGAUAAACUAGGGGAAAUUCUUUUUGGCAUACUAUCAGAAGGUCUUGGGCUAAAACCGGAUCAGUUGAAAGCUACAGAAUGUGCCAAAGAACAAGGGAUGGCAUGCCAUUACUACCCGACAUGCCCACAGCCAGAGCUAACUCUUGGUACUGGUAAGCAUACAGAUCCUGUUUUCCUUACGUUUAUCCUUCAAAAUCAGAUUGGUGGGCUCCAAGUCAUGUGUGAUAACCAAUGGGCGGAUGUUGAACCGAUUGAACAUGGUUUGGUUGUUAUUAUUGGUGAUCUCCUUCAGGUUUGCAACAAAACACAACUUUUUUGUUCUCAUUUUUUUCACAAACUGUUACUCAUCUCAAACUGAUUUUGUAACAGAUCCUAUCAAAUGACAAGUUUGUAAGUGCAACUCAUAGAGUUGUAGCAAAUAAGGUAGCAGAACCAAGGAUUUCAGUGAUAUUCUUCUUCAGUGGAGUUUCUACACCUCCAAAGAUGUUUGGUCCAAUCAAAGAGCUCAUAUCAGAAGAAAAUCCCCCACUAUAUAAACAAGUUCUAGUAGUUGAUUAUGUCUCAAAUUUUUUGUCCAAGCCACUUGAUAAGACUAGUCUUGAUCUUGUCAGACUCUGAAGAAUCGCUACGCGAAAAUGACCAUAAACCAUCAGAAAAGCCUAUCAUCAUUCAUACAGAACUAUGUCAUAGUUUGUGAUUUGCUGUAAAAUAAUGUUCAUUUUCAUGUUGAAGGAACUAUUGAAAGCAAUAGUGCUUUGAACUUUUAUGUGAAACUUUAUCACAAUGUAUUGGAGUUCCUCCUAGUUGUACUAGUAAAAUUGGGUAAAGCAUGCGAUUCUGUACUCAGGGGGGACUCGAACCCGAGACCUCUUGGUUAAAGAUGAAAGAGUACUUACCACUUCACCACAACCCUUGUUGGUCUUGCUCAUCUUUCAUUAUCCCAACAGUUAUACAUGAGUUUUUCACUCUCCUCUCAUACACGGUUUUAAACAUAUUCACUCCGUCCCUAUUUACUUGUCAAAUAUUUCCUCAUUUGAUUUCCCUUUUUACUUGUCAUUUUUGACAAAUCAAGGAAGGUCAAUUUUUUUCUUCCUAUUAUACCUCUCAAUUUAUUAAUAUUGAGUUAAUGAAUCAAUUAAUAGGGAUAAAAUGAUAAACUCACUAUAUCAAUCAUUGUUAUUAUUUUUAGGACAAAUUACAUAAAUCACAUACUUUUAAGGCAAAAUUACAAUCUAUCCCUUAAAAGUUUAUAAUUACAGAAAUCCCUCAAACGGAUACAAUAAUAUAAGAGCUGAUACAUUAAUCUGAUGUGCGAGAUACAUUAAUCGUUAAGUAAGAUACAUUACAUUUUAUAAACGAUACACUAAUCUGAUGCGCGAGAUACAAUAAUAUAAGCGCUGAUACAUUAAACUGAUGCGCGAGAUACAAUAAUAUAAGUGUUGAUACAUUAAUCUGAUGCGCGAGAUACACUACAUGAUACGCUAAUUUGAUGCGCGAGAUACAAUAAUAUAAGCGUUGAUAUAUUAAUCUAAUGCGCGAGAUACACUAAUCUGAUGCACGAAAAUGAGGGAUUUUGGAGAUUUAUAAAACUUAUAGGGGAUAAUGGUAAUAAGCAAACUAAAAGGUGGAUUUCUGUAAAUUUUCCUUUAAUAAGUGUGUCUAGUCAAAAUUUGUCAAGCAAAAAGGGACGGAGGGGGUAUUUUUCUAUCUCACUUCAUGGUUAUUGACUUAUAUUGCUAUUACGUAUUAAUAAUUGCUGCUAAAUUAAUUUGGAGCAAGACAUUAUUUUCUUCCUUUUAUCUUCGUGCAACUUACCAUCCAAAAAAUAAUUUAAAUAAUAAUAUUUAAUUAAAUAUAUACUUAAUUUAGUGUAGGAAUAAAUGGUAAUUCAACUUUGCACUUUGAAACUUCUCACUUUCAAUAAUACUAGUCUUUGUACCCCAUACCUCAAUAAAUAAAAACUCUUAUAAAGUUAAAUAAAUAUUAUUUUAAAAUGUAAUAUCAACUUAACCUCACUGAAUCCAUCUUACUAUUUUCUUCCUUUGAAAACAAGGGUGAAAUUAUAACAUUAUAAUAUUAGAGCGGUCUUGUGUGUAACUUUAAAACAAUGAACCAAACCUUCCAAAUAUAAUUUAUAAAAAAGCACAAAAAUGUCGAAUCAAAUGAAUUUGAUUCAUUUAAUAUAAGGUAAUCAGACUUAGUCAUGGUAGGACAAUGUAGAAGUCAUACUUGAUAUUUCUAACCUUAUGAAUUCAUCUUCCUCAAAAUUCUUUUUGGUGUUUCUAAAUAAAGUGAAGAUGUCAAACUUGCUAUACACUCUAUUGUUAAUCUCAGAUCAUAGAUAGACUAGUUUGAAAAAAAAAUAUUAAUGAUCAAAAUAGAAGAUGGAAAAAGAGGAGAAAAGAAGGAACUUUACCAUAGGAGUACGUAGAACUGCUAGUGGAAGAACCCAAGAUGACAAAUUCGCAUUUGGUAAUGGUAUAUAUUGAUUUAGCUGCAACUCUUCAUAUUUUUUAAUUUAAGAUUAAAAGGGGAAAAACCUUAAUUCAUGUACUUAUUUAAGAACAAUUAUUCAGUUUUAAUUAUUGGCAUAAUACAAAAUUGGACCCUAAACUUGGCUUCGAAUUUUAAGUAUGACCUCUAACUUUCAAAGUGCACAAGUAGGCACUUCAACUAUCCAAUUCUUAAACAAAAAAACACGCGAAUCCAACCUGACAUAACGCGUGAUUGAGACACAAUUCAGGCGCGUCAGGGGUAUUUUUCGAGGCCCACAACAGUAAAAAAAAAAGAAGCGGAAAUGACAAUUUUACCCUUAAUGAGGGGUCGAGGUAGGGGUGAAAAAAAAGAAAUUUUGAAGUUGAAAAUAUUUUUUUAAAAUAAAUUUCAAUUUUUUUUUGGGGUUGGAGGGGCUGGUAGGGGUUGGGUUGGGAAAAGAAAAUAUGACCCUACCCUUUUGUAAUUUAAUUUCUUUAUUUUUUAAUUAUAAAAUACGUGUAAUUUUUUAAUUACGUGACAGCCACUGAGUGGCUCAAUAAGCCACGUAAGAGCGUUUGUAUAUCACACAAUUUGGUUGUUGGAUUCGCGUGUUUUUUUGUUUAAGAAUUGGAUAGUUAAAGUGCCUACUUGUGCACUAUGAAAGUUAGAGGUCAUACUUAAAAUUUGAAGCCGAGUUUAGGGUCCAAUUUAUGUAUUAUGCCUUAAUUAUUUUACCAAUUACAUAUGACUCUAAAAUUCUAGAAGUUCUAAUUGACUCUUGUUCUUCUACAUAACCUUUCUAAUAAAUAACUUACCAUUCAAAAAUAAUUAAAAUAAUAUUAUUUAAUAAUUAAUUAACUAGAUGUUUAAUUUAGCUUAGGGGUAAAAUGGCAAUCCAACUUUUCAUCUUUGGAGCUUCCCACUUUUAAUAAUACUAGGUUUAUGACACGUUUGUUGCACGUGAUUACCAAUUUCAAAAUAUAUGUUAUAGUAAAUAGUAUUGCUUAUUUAAGCGAAGAUUUGAAUAAUACGCUUAGCAAAAAAUAAUAUUGUAGAUUCUUUUGUGAAUGUUCAACGUGGAUCGUCAUAUAUAUCUCUUAUUCACGCAAACCUAUGAAGAUGGUCAAUGAAAUUUUUUAUUACUUAAAUGCAAAAAUGUAUAUAUUUAUUUCAAUUUAAUGAGGUUCAAUCAUGUAAUUAGUUUUAUCUCACUAAUAUUACCCUAUAGACAAUAUUGGCUUUGUAUUUUUCUUGUCAUCUAACCAUAUGUUUAGAUAAAAAAACUCGGAACAUUUUAAAAUAAUAUAUUUUGAAGUUAGAAGAUCUUGUUAACUUGAUAAUACAUUUGUGACAUAUAAUACUUUAUUUUAUAUACAAAUAUCUUCCCAAAUAUAAAUAUAUAUUUGCAUUAAUGAAAAUAUUUAUCUAAUAAAAUUAACUAUUAAAUAAAUAAUAAAAAUUAAAGUAAUACAAACUUCAACUGGCAUUAUUAGUAGUCCUAUAAACUUUUCUUCGUCUAAAAUAUUGAAAUAUUAAGAAAUAGUAAAUAAGUAAAACAAAAGGGCAAUGUUUAUAUAGUAAUAACUAUUUUGAAGCAAACUUCAUGAGAGUCUAGAUCACAUAAGUAGCAUUGAUAAAUAAAAUCAUUCUUUUGUCUUUGAACAUCAAAAAUAAAUCGUGACAAUUCUCUAAAUUUUGGAAAAGAUAUUCAGAAGCACAUAUCUAUAUCACAAGAGAAAUUGUUAACAAAAACAAAUGAGUUUAGACUACAUCAUGUUAACUUCAUAUAUUGGAACAUUACAUACUAAUAUAUAUAUAAAGGAAAAAAAUAAUUAUUAUAUCAUCAAAAUUAUUUUUCUCAAGUACUCGAGGUUAUGGAAUAUACCCUCUUAGGAUAGAACGACUUACUUCAUCAGAAUAGUGGUACCUCAUAUUCCGCUAAACUUCGAACUCACUCAAAGAUAAUAAAUCACACAAAAAAAAUAUAAAAUGCAAGAAGAAGAAGAGUAGAAGAUUAAAAAAAUUGUGGUUGAAAAAUGAGAGGAAACCCUUCUAUUUAUAGUCAACAAAGGGUAGUAUGAACAAAAAAUUUUGUGUCUUAUCUGAAAAGUCAUGUCCUUUUUAAAAAGUCAUGACCCUUUGGAAAAGUUGCAACUUAUUGAAAAAGUCACAGCUCUUUGGAAAAGUCACAACUUAUUGAAAAAGUCACAACUCUUUGGAAAAGUCUCAACUCAUCGAAAAAUCACAACCCUUCGAAAAGAGUCACAACUUAUCGAAAAAGUCACAACUCAUCGAAAAAGUCACAACCUAAGUUAGGGAUAAUAUAGUAAUUUAACAUUCAAGUUAGGAGUUCAUGCUUUUAAGGUAAUAUAGAAUAGAUAUAGAUAUGAUAUAUGAUAUGAUGAUGAUAUGAUCAAGUUACACGAACAUUCCUUUGGAUAGGAUUUUCAUUAUAUAAGGGAUUGAAAUGUUUGAUUUUGAAAAGUAAGUAUAACAUUAAUAAUGUAUUUGUAUUGGAUUUGCGUAAUAUGGGGUGGAUUUGUAGUUGAGUCAUAUUAUAGGGGCAUUUAGUGUAAUUUACACGUAACUUAUACCAAUUAACUACCAUGUUUCAUUUAGUUUUCGGACGCUACAUUCAAUGAUUUUCAUUAAAUAUACACACGAAAAGGUUAAAGGAGGUUUAAAAUCUAUUGUAUAUAUAAAAAAAAUUAAUUUUAAUCAUGUAUAAAUGAUGUAAUUUUUCUUUGAAGGAGCUUUGAAUGAACCCCUCCAUCCUUGCUAGCUCCGCCUCUGUCUACAUUCAUUACCAACAAAAAUUAUAGACGGAUGGUAAGUACUUUUUUAAUCUUUUAGGAUAUUUCAGGUUUGAGUUCUAAUAUUAGAGAGUCACCUUUGAUAGUGUGAGUCGUAGUGGGACCAAAGUGAAUCUAGAUUAGUGGGACUCUAACAGAUUUGACAAAAUUGAUCUUUAUGUGACAACUAUAAGAGAUACUUUCUCUGUUUUAAUUUGUUUGUCUAACUUUUUUUUUCUAAUUUUUUAUUUUAAUUCUUUUUUUUUCUUUUUGACAACUCUUUAGUUUUAACUUUUCACAUGAUAUGUUUAUAACCACAAGAUUAAAAGGCAUUUUAGUAUAUAUACUAUACCAAAUAUGAUCUUUAACGACAAUAGCUUAAUUGCUACGAAAUAUAUUUUUAAAGAUAAUUAGCACUCUUUGCAAAUGUCCCUAAAGUCUACAGCGAUGUUGGAUCCAAUAACAAUUAACUAAUGUCGGUAAGAUUUAGCUCUUUUUGUUAAUAUGUAUAUAUUUAUCGCCGCAAAAAGCUAUUUUUGUCGUAGUGAUAGUGUUCUUUAAUUUUUUAAGGCAUAAUACGUAAACAUGACUCUUAACUUGGUUUCAGCGAACAAUUAUGCCCUCCAACUUUGAGUGUGGACAAGUAGACACUUAAACUUGUAUAAAAUUGAACAAGUAGACACACGUGUCCUACAUGGCAUAAUACAUGUAGGAUGCCACGUAAGACACAAAAUUACCAUGUAGGGUGUCAUUUAGGAGUUAGGACGAAUGUGUCUAUUUGUUCAAUUUUAUACAAGUUUAAGUGUCUAUUUGUGCUCACCCAAAGUUAAAGGUCAUAGUUGUCAGCUGAAGUCAAGUUAAGGGUCACAUUUAUGUACCAUGCGCCUUUUUUAAACUACAUGAGGGAAUAUUUCAUUUGAAAAAUUGCAUUUGUAAGCAUGUGUUGUCUAUAACUAACUAUUUCCUGAGAAAAAAAGUAGAUUUUUUGAAAAUAAGAACAACUAUGUCUGUUGCUGAAGAUUCUCAAGCUGAAUUAGCAAUGGAUUAUGAUCGAUCGAAGGAGAUAAAGGCUUUUGAUGAUACAAAAGCCGGUGUUAAGGGACUUGUUGAUGCUGGAAUUGUGGAAAUUCCAAGAAUGUUCAUUAGGCCAACUGAUGAACCUGCUGAGGUAUUGAUUCAGGGGAAGUCAACUCUACAGGUUCCAGUGAUUGAUAUCAGUGGCUUAGAAGUUGAAGAUGCGUGUAAGAAGAUUGUCGAUGAAAUAAGGGAAGCAUCAAAGAAGUGGGGCUUUUUCCAACUGAUAAAUCAUGGGGAAUGAUUGAUGGGACUCGUAAAUAUACUGUGUUCUUAGCUUUGCAGAAAAACUAAUAUGUGAUGCAGUGGUGUUGCUUGUUCCUUAUGAGUGUUCCGUGUUCGUGUUCCCCUCUUCUCUUCAUUCCCUUUAUCUGCGGAAAAAGAUCAAAAAUACCUUGAACUAUUGCAAAAGGUUUAAAUAUACACUUUGUUCAUCUGUUUUGCUAAAAAUAUCCUAUGAUAUAUUUUUGGCAACCAGUUGACUUGUAAAAACAGAUGGGAUAUAGAAUAAGAAUAUGAUAUAUUCAUAAAUAAUUCUUUCAUCUUUCAUUCAAUUUAUUAUCUUACCCUUUAAUUGAGUACUUGACAAAUUGGAGAAGAGGAAAGGUUAGGUAGUUUAGAAAGUCAGUAGGCAUUUUAAAAAAUAAAUAAAGAAAUGAAAGGACUAUUGUCUGUAACACCUUCCCAAAGAAAACCAAAAGUUUCCAUGAACAUUCUCUUUAGUCUUCCUAUUUCACAUUUAUCAAAAUAAUUUAAAGCUUAGUAAGUAUUGGAAGACAUUACAACCCUUUAUUAAAAAAUCUCAUUUUUUUUUGGUGGAAGGGUAUUGUUCCCGGUGACUUAAUCUGCUCAACAAAGAGAGAAGCGUCUUUCGAUCAGAACAUAAGCCCAACUAUAUUAUUGAACAAUUUCCUUGUAAAUACAUAUACAUGUACAGAUAUUUUAGAGCUAUGGAAAUAGUACAUGUGCUAUUUUUAUGCUAUGCACUAGGUAGGUACAUUAGUUUAUUUUAUUACCAUUCAAUCCCUAGGAAGUUCCUAUAUAUUUUGUUGUACAGCAGCUUUGUAGUCCCCAAGUUGAAGAAAUACAAAAUCCAGAAAAUUUCUCACGAUCCUUUCUAGUAUAUUUCUUUCAAUAUUUUGGUAAUCUAGCUUUUAACUUAGAGGUUUCGCACUUAUAAUAUAGAAUGAUGAUGUAUUAUCUAUAUCUAUAUUAUAUUAAAAUCACGAAAGUCGUUAAUGAACGUACACAAGCUUUCAUUUCAUGUUGUAGCUGAGUAAAAAUCAAAAGUCUCUCUUUUCUUUUCUUUCCUUGUCUGAAUAAACUUGUGCCUACCUUGAAAAUUCAACCAUCUAAUUAGUACUCUCUUUGUUCUCAGGCUGAAUGGAUUAUGAUCCAUCGGAUGAGAAAAAGGCUAUUGAUGAUGCAAAAGCUGGUGUUAAGGGACUUGUUGAUUCUGGAAUAGUUGAGAUUCCAAGAAUUUUCAUUAGGCCACCUCAUGAACUUGCUGAGGAGUUGAAUAUGUGCAAGUCAACUCAACAGGUUCCGGUCGUGGAUCUAAGUGGCAUACACGUUGAAGAUGGGCGUAAGAAGAUUGUUGAUGAAAUAAGGGAAGCAUCUGAGAAAUGGGGCCUUUUCCAACUGAUAAAUCAUGGGAUUCCUUCUAGUGUUUUGGAAGGAAU
rnacentral:lncRNA from 1 species